UGCAUGAUCAUGCUGAUACUGUUGGAGAAUUCUGCUUGUCCUAUGUACAUGUGAAAGAAGAGUGCUGUACAUGUGAAAGAAGCAUGCUGUGCAUGUGAAAGAAGCGUGCAUGUGAUGUAAUGCCAAGCAGAAAAAGCUAGGGUCUUAGGGCACAUGAGGACAGGGACGAGAGAGUGGAAAAGUACCCAAAAAACACUUGUAGCACAGAUGCAGGUGUUGGGAGGCACUGGGAGAGAAACAGAUUGUAUACAAUGUAACAAUGUGCCACUGGGAAAAGUGUACUGAAACAAGGAGCCCAUUGUGUAAAAAGAAAUGAUACGCAUGCGCAAGGAAGUUUGCCCCAAUUAAAAAUAAAAUGAUAAUGCAGGUGUUUUUAAUCUGGGAGGAGUACUAAGGAGGCGCAAGGAGAUAAAAGAUAACAAUUUGAGCGCUAAUUGGCUACCACAAGGUAUAAGAAAUGAGUGCAGACCAUUGUAAGAUCAGAUGGCCAGCUGGCAUCUCACUUUGUUGAACUGCUCAAUAAAGUUGCUUUUCUGAGACCCAAAACCUCGACUCUGCACAAUUUCUUCAGGACCUGAUCCGGACUUUGAUGAUUUGAAUUGAGACUUAAAAUCUGCCACAACAUAAUUGGCGAGCGGCAGCCAGGAGCUUCGAGAGGGGAGCGGCCGUGGUGACGACGCCUGCUGGUGACCCCACGAAACAAAAGGUCGACCAAAAACAAGGUAAGCAGCUUUUGCUUAAUUUGUUUCGUGUGGUCCCUGACAGAGCAGUCACCUUGGUUGGUAAUUAUUGUUUGAUAUUUAAAUACAUGCUAAAUAAAUUAAACCCCGCCGAAAAACGAACCUAAAAAGAUUAAAUUUAGUAAGGCAAAAAUAAGUGGAAAAGAAAAGUCGAGAUCUUGGGUCAAAUGAAGAAGAAGCGCAUGCUUAUGAAUGUGUAAAUUCUCACAAGAGGUGCUGUGAGAGAACCUAUAAGAGGUGCUAUAGGUUCAUUUGUAUGAAUGUGUAAAUUCUCACAAGAGGUGCUGUGAGAGAACCUAUAAGAGGUGCUAUAGGUUCAUUUGUAUGAAUGCGUAAAUUCUCACAAGAGGUGCUGUGAGAGAACCUAUAAGAGGUGCUAUAGGUUCAUGUGUAUGAAUGCGUAAAUUCUCACAAGAGGUGCUGUGAGAGAACCUAUAAGAGUUGCUAUAGGUUCAUGUGUAUGAAUGCGUAAAUUCUCACAAGAGGUGCUGUGAGAGAACCUAUAAGAGGUGCUAUAGGUUCAUUUGUAUGAAUGUGUAAAUUCUCACAAGAGGUGCUGUGAGAGAACCUAUAAGAGGUGCUAUAGGUUCAUUUGUAUGAAUGCGUAAAUUCUCACAAGAGGUGCUGUGAGAUUGCAUGUAUGCUAGAGUGAGAGCGCGCCGAGAGAAGUGUGUGUGUGUGUGUGUGUAAAGAGGGAGCACGCGCUGGAGAAAAGUGUGUGUGGGAGAGAAGUGUGUGUGAAUUAUGCUGCAGCUGCUGUAGAAGCGCGCCGGCUGGAAAAGUGCACAGAGUAGAAAAAACUGCAGAGAAGUAGAAAUAUAUAUAUAUGAGCUAAUUGGAAAAUAGAUGAAAGACAAAAGUCAAGACAGUGAAGAAAAAUACAGAAAAGCAAAUAUUGGAAGGCAAAGAAUAUUCAAAAAAUUGGCUUUGUUUGCUUGGACACUCACUAGAGUGUGAGCGCUGUGACCCUGAGAGAGAGACACAGCCUUAGGCAGAAAGAUAAGAAGGUAUCAAAGUGUUGAAUGAGUGUGGUGAAAGUGUGUGAAUGAAAACCCGGGUGUGUGAAUGAAUAUACUAACAGAACUAAAUAACUAACUAAAUAACUAAGUGUGUUUGGAUUGAGGUAAAGAACUAAGGAGGGAUAUCUUUUUAUUUUUAAUCUUUUGACACCUGAAGAUAAGAACACAUGUGGACCAGAGUGAGAGAUCAUUAUGAGAAAGAGGAUAGGAGAGUACAGAGAGAAAGAGAGGACGAAGACAACUUUAAACAGGCAUUAAAACUAACCAAAGUCAUUAAGGAUCACUCCUGGUUUGAAAAUGAGUUUAUAGAUGACGAAGGGCAGAGACAGGAGUUAACAGACCAACGGAAAAAAUAGCUUUUUAAAAAAUUGACAAAGAUCACAAAUUUGAAUCAUCUUGAGCAAGAAUGGCCCUUAAUGGAUUGGCGUGAUGUGAUUAAAAAAAAAAAAAUAUAUAUAUAUAUAUAUAUAUAUAAAAAAAAAAAAAAAAAAAAAAAAAAAACAGAAUACUCAGACCUAACCUGAACAAAUUUAACCUUUUUAACCUGAAAAGAAAUGCGUAGUACACUUGGUCUAUGAUUUUGAGGAUUGAGGAUUUUGAGGAACAUGCAUAUAGUGAUUCCGGGGCCAGUACAGAGGGAAAAUUACACAAUCGUUAAAGUCAGAUAGGGAGGAGAAAUCAGACCAGCACUGGUGGAUAUUUUGACUAGUUUUGAGAAGCAACCCCAACCAUACCAGUGGGUAGAAAUUCAUGGAAAAAAAAAAAAAAAAUGUAAUGAUGGACAAAUAGAAGGGGUAGGGGAGGAGAUGGGGAGAAAAAUCUUAAACAAAGAAAGAAGAAACUUGAUAUUUAUUUAUUUGAGCAAUUAAAUUCAGAAACAUGCCAUAAAGAGUAAUUAAACAUUAUGGGGAGACUAUGAAGUGAAAUUUUUAAUAAUUUUGCUUUUUCGUCUAUUUGGCCAUUCUUCUGACUGCAGGAGCUGUGAUCUGGACUGAGAAAAACAGCCUAUUCUGAACAAUAAUUCGGCUUUGUCUAUUCAUUGUUACAAGAAAAAUAAAGAGUAAAAGUAUGUGUGUGCGCGUCCAAUGAACAGAUUAGGACUGUUUGAAAAAUAAUGAUAUUCAUUUAUGAUAUUCAUUCAUAAAGAGAAACUAAAAUUAUGAAAGAACACUUGUUUCCCUCUCAUAUAGCACAAGUAAACAGUGACUGUGAUCUGAGAAAGAGAGGCAGAAAGGAGGGGCUGCCUCUGACAGAGAGAGGAGGGGCUGCAAAAAGAUAGUGAGACUGUGUGGGUGUGAGAUGAAGGAAAGGAGGGAGACAGAGAAAGAGUUCAACUUUUCUAGUUCUGACUAGCUUAUAAACCAGAAAGUGAGUACCAUUUGAGAGAUCUUAUUUGUAACUGUCAUCAGAGGACCUGUAAUAGAGGAACUGCGUUUUUAAAAUACCAGGGAAAGACUAAUCAAAUACCUUAAUAAAUGUCUGACCAUCUUGGUGAAAACUAGUUAAGAACAGAUGCAAUCUGGGGUUUGUAAGGUAAAAAGGUGUGAAAAAAAAAAAAAAAAAAAAGAUAAUUAAGAUUAAUGGGGCCGACAACUGUAGAUAUACCAGGAUCAAAAUAUUAGUUUUGCAACACCAAGGCUAUAUGAAGAAAGCCUAAAGAGAAGAGAGACAUCCAAUGAAAGUUUGGCAAAUUUAAUGAAGGAUUUAGAGUAAGACACAGGGACUAAUGAAUGGAUAAAGAAAGGGAAGCCCUGAGAAAAGAGCUGA